UAUUUUUUCUAAAAGGAUUGGUUGGACGCACAGAACGUUUGUCUAUCUGUGCGUGCCUCUUAUACAUUAACGUAUUAGCGGUAAUGACUUUUCGUUUGAUUAGUGUGUUAAUUGACUUGUUUUCGAGGAUUUUUAAAAGGAGAUCGGCAAAAUGGACGCGAACUGGGCUAUGGACGCGAACAGGCGAAAUGACCCUAUGUAUUGAAAAUUUUAACUGACACUACCGUAAUGACGUCAUUAGCAUGGCGGCGACAUUUCGUAGUGUUCAAAGACAGAUAAAAAAACCUAAAAACUUUAAACUGCAAUAAAAAAUAUAUUUAUGUACCUUACGAAGUGAAACUAACAUUUCCCGAUUGCUUUUCCUCUAAACAAUCAUUGUAAUUCACUUUUAAUUUUUUUCUCAUCUAGACUAAAAUACCCUAUUAUCCUUAAUGCUAAGAGUAAUCGGCAAUUCAGUGAAUAAAACUGAGUCUGCAGCUCCGUUUAAAUCAAAUGUUAUGAUCUCGCCUAGCUUAAGUUCACCUUUCAACUCUGUGUCACAUUUUUGACACAUUGUGUUAACACAAAGAAAUUUUAAUCUAUUUGUGACUUUGAUUUUUAUAAAGUAUGCACUCUCCCUAAAAAAAUAAGACGUGAAUAACGAAAAUUUCGAAUAUGUGAAAAUGCAUGGACACCCUACUCUCAUACAGUUUCAUACCACUGUGUUUUUGUAAAUAUCUCCUAAAAUACGAAUGCUGCAGUUAAAUUCGCUAUAUUUAUUCAAACUAGGUUACGUUACCCAUCGACUAGUACUUUAAUUAAGCUAAAACCUACUUUUAAUAACGAGAAAAACGAAAUUGUAUUUUAGGCAUAUUGCCGUCCGCGCGGCCAACUAAAAUCGACUCUAACAUAUUAUUGAACCUGCUUUCUAGUAUUUUUUUGUCUUUUUUCGCUGUAACAAAUUAAAGACUAAUUUUCUAUACA